UACGUAGGGUGCGAGCGUUAAUCGGAAUUACUGGGCGUAAAGGGCGCGUAGGCGGCCUACUAAGUCAGACGUGAAAUCCCCCGGCUUAACCUGGGAACUGCGUCUGAUACUGGAAGGCUUGAGGAUGGGAGAGGGAUGUAGAAUUCCAGGUGUAGCGGAUGAAAUGCGUAGAUAUCUGGAGGAAUACCGGUGGCGAAGGCGGCAUCCUGGACCAUUACUGACGCUGGAGGCGACGAAAGCUAGGGGAGCAAACGGG
rnacentral:rRNA from 1 species